AAGAGAUGAGGUGGUUACAAGUACACAGAGAAGCCAAAAGAGAUCUGAGGACAUUUUGAGAAGGAGAAACAGAGCUGAACGCAGACACUGGGCCUGGGGUCAGCUGUAUUCACAAGGUCACUCAGGGGCAAAGGAGCAGGGUUUCCUGCUGGGUGACCCCAGGCCAGUCGCUUGACCACCCUGAGACUUAGUCCCUUUUCCCAUAAGAGGGGCUACUAUUUCAUGUAAUUAUAAUACAAAUCCUUGCCCAGGUUCUUUCCAGGAUUGUGAAAGGAGAUGAUCAAUGUGAAAUGGGAUGCUUUUCUAAACAAAGGAGAGCUCAGAAAGUCGCAAAAGAUGGUCACUUUUAAUAAGAAAAGGCUAGAGUAUUAUAAAAUUGUGAGGUUUGGCCUAAAUGUUAAAUUCUAAAACUCUCUUUCUAAAAUUUCCCUUUAAAGCAGAUAGAAACACAAUUUUUUUAAGCAGGGGAGUGACAAAAAAAAGUAUGGAGAAAGCACGUCUGCCUACUCAUCCCUGCCUGUCCUCUGGAGACCCACAGGCAUCCCAACAGUUUCGAACUAAGUGUGGACUGUUUCUGCACUCAUCCCUGUUCAGCAAAUUCAACUUGGAAACAGAUUUCAUUCAGACAGUGAUUGUUAAUGUGCUCAUUUGAUUUAGGGGCUAAUGCUUUCCUUUGUGGCAUAACUGGAAGAACCAUUACAGGAAAAAGUAUUCAGCGAUACUUGUUAAAGCAUGGUAAGGCCGACUGCACUCAGGAUCCUCGCAACAGGUAUCCGGACAAUGGGAUUUUGCAGUGGCGAAAAGAAAUUGACCUCAACUCCCAGUACAGCACCAGCAGGUGGGGACUGACAGCCAAGGAGCAGGGUGAAGAGUCCCAUGUGGGAGAGAAACAACCCAGCAGGACUGGACGGGUUGUGACCAUCGCUGCCUUCCACCUUCCCUUUCCGACUCGAGGACACCAAGUCAGAGGCUCAGCCGCCUGCCGAAGUCUCCCAGCUACUGAAAGAUGGCACGGGAGGUGGAGCCCUGAUGCCUCCAGGUCGCUACCCCCAACUCCUGCAGGACCCCCAACAAAGGCAGUGUUCUGUCCCCCAGGCACCCCACCCUACGCCAUCAGCCAUGGUCUCGUCUGCAUCCAUCUAGAAAAUAUUCAUUUACACAAGUGGAGCAGGAAUAUAUUUUUGUUACAAACUAAUCAAAUAAUAUAAUAAAGCAAAAACAGAAUUUUCA